AAGCCAUGCGACUCGUGAGGGUGCGGCCCUCGGCAGACGGCUCAGUAACACGUAGCAGAUUUGCCCUUAGGUGGAGGAUACCCUCGGGAAACUGAGAAUAAUACUACAUAUGAUCUCCCCUGCUGGAAUGCAUUUAGAUUGAAAGAUUUAUCGCCUAAGGAUAAGUCUGCGGACUAUCAGGUUGUAGUCAGGGUAACUACCUGACUAGCCUACGACGGAUACGGGUAGUGAGAGCUAUAGCCCGGAGAUGAUAUCUCAGACACGAUAUCAGGCCCUACGGGGCGCAGCAGGCGCGAAACUUCGCACUGUGUCGAAACUCGAAGAGGGGAUCCCAAGUGCUGGCUCGUAAGAGUCAGCUGUUUCUCUGUCUAAAAAACAGAGAGAGUAAGGCUGGGUAAGACGGGUGCCAGCCGCCGCGGUAAUACCUGCAGCUAAGUGGUGGCCGCUAUUAUUGGGCCUAAAACGUCCGUAGCCGGUUCUAUCCCUGCCUGGGUAAAUCGUACGGCUAACCGUACGAAUCCGGUAGACUGUUCACUGGGACCGGAGAGGCUAGAUGUACU
rnacentral:rRNA from 1 species